AUUUCUAUAUUUUUUUCCGUUUCAGACACGCUACAGCUGACACUUUAUUUAUGCUUAUUUUUAUAUGUUUUCUCUUUUGUUUUAGACACGCUACCGCUCACCCUGCCCUCGUCAUCCCAUACCGCUUGGUUCUUCCUGCGUCUGGCUCGCCCUCUGCCCUCAGCGUGGGCCGUUUGCCGCGAUUCCGCCCGUGAGCAACAGGUGGUCCGACCCACGGCCCAGGACACUUUUAUGCGCCUUCGGCCGGACUCAUUUCACGGGUGUCUCCCUCACACAGUGUCUCGGACCUAAGAAUCAUCCGACUCCUCGCCCGGUAGUACACGCAUGAGCGGCACCCGUCGGUCUGGCCCGAAGCUCGUAGUUGCCCUGCGCGUCCUGAAGCUGAGGCGCUGAGGCGUGAGCCUGGCCCUUGGUUUUUGUCACCCAUUGGCCGACGAGUCUCGUGCGUGUCCUGCGUGGCACCUUUUCUGAGUGUCCUGCGUGACAUCCUUUACUUUUACUGGUCCUGCGUGACCCCUUUGCGCGGCCUGCGUAGCCUAUCAUGUGCCCUGCGUGGCCUAUUAUAGCUCUUCCCCUUCA